rnacentral:misc_RNA from 1 species
CAAAGAUGUAAAGACAAUGUGCUUGAAGUAUGCUGAAUUGGAGAAGAGCCUGGGAGAAAUUGAUCGAGCUCGUGGAAUAUAUGUAUUUGCAUCUCAGUUUGCUGAUCCAAGAUCUGAUGCAGAUUUUUGGAAUGAAUGGCAUGAAUUUGAGGUGCAACAUGGAAAUGAAGAUACUUUCCGAGAAAUGCUGCGUAUCAAACGAAGUGUUUCUGCAAGCUAUAGCCAGACGCAUUUCAUUCUGCCGGAGUAUUUAAUGCAGAAGGAUCAAAGGUUGAAUAUUGAUGAGGCAAAAGACAAAUUAAAACUGGCUGGGGUCCCUGAAGAUGAAAUGGCUGCUCUAGAGAGGCAAUUAGCCCCUGUGGCCAACAACGCUACAGCUAAAGAUAGUGGCAGAAAGGUGGGCUUUGUGAGUGCUGGGGUGCAAUCACAACCUGAUGGGGCGAUGAAAGUUAUUGCUAACCAAGAAGACAUUGAGCUACCAGAAGAAAGUGACUCC